UACGUAGGGGGCGAGCGUUGUCCGGAUUCAUUGGGCGUAAAGCGCGCGUAGGCGGCUUCGUAAGUCGGCCGUGAAAUCUCCAGGCUUAACUUGGAGGGGUCGGGCGAGACUGCGGAGCUCGAGGUGGGCAGAGGGCAGUGGAAUUCCGGGUGUAGUGGUGGAAUGCGUAGAGAUCCGGAGGAACACCAGUGGCGAAGGCGGCUGCCUGGGCCUGGCCUGACGCUGAGGCGCGAAAGCGUGGGGAGCGAGCCGG
rnacentral:rRNA from 1 species